rnacentral:rRNA from 1 species
UUCCGGUUGAUCCUGCCGGACCUGAUUGCUAUCGGAUUGGUACUAAGCCAUGCGAGUAAGUGUAGCAAUACACUGCAGACGGCUCAGUAACACGUGGUCAAGCUAACCUAUGGACGUGGAUAACCUCGGGAAACUGAGAAUAAACCGCGAUAGAUCAUGAUGCCUGGAAUGGCUCAUGGUCGAAAUAGUUUACUGCCGUAGGAUGCGACUGCGGCCUAUCAGUUUGUUGGUGAGGUAAUGGCCCACCAAGACUAUUACAGGUACGGGCUCUGAGAGGAGAAGCCCGGAGAUGGGUACUGAGACACGGACCCAGGCCCUAUGGGGCGCAGCAGGCGAGAAACCUUAGCAAUGUGCGAAAGCACGACUGGGUUAGUCCGAGUGGUUCCUGCUAAAGGAAUCUUUUGCCGGUCCUAAAAGCACCGGUGAAUAAGGGGUGGGCAAGUCUGGUGUCAGCCGCCGCGGUAAUACCAGCACCUCGAGUGAUCAGGACGUUUAUUGGGCCUAAAGCAUCCGUAGCUGGCUUUGCAAGUCUCCGGUUAAAUCAACCUGCUCAACAGAUUGGCCGCUGGAGAUACUACAAGGCUAGGGAGUGGGAGAGGCAGACGGUAUUCGGGGGGUAGGGGUAAAAUCCUCUGAUCCUCUGAGGACCACCAGUGGCGAAGGCGGUCUGCCAGAACACGUUCGACAGCGAGGGAUGAAAGCUGGGGGAGCAAACCGGAUUAGAUACCCGGGUAGUCCCAGCUGUAAACGAUGCAAACUCGGUGAAGCAUUGGCUUAAUGCUAAUGCUGUGCCGCAGGGAAGCCGUUAAGUUUGCCGCCUGGGAAGUACGGUCGCAAGAUUGAAACUUAAAGGAAUUGGCGGGGGAGCACCACAAGGGGUGAAGCCUGCGGUUCAAUUGGAGUCAACGCCGGGA